rnacentral:rRNA from 1 species
GAUGAACGCUGGCGGCGUGCCUAAUACAUGCAAGUCGAGCGAACAGACGAGGAGCUUGCUCCUCUGACGUUAGCGGCGGACGGGUGAGUAACACGUGGAUAACCUACCUAUAAGACUGGGAUAACUUCGGGAAACCGGAGCUAAUACCGGAUAAUAUAUUGAACCGCAUGGUUCAAUAGUGAAAGACGGUUUUGCUGUCACUUAUAGAUGGAUCCGCGCCGCAUUAGCUAGUUGGUAAGGUAACAGCUUACCAAGGCAACGAUGCGUAGCCGACCUGAGAGGGUGAUCGGCCACACGGGAACUGAGACACGGUCCAGACUCCUACGGGAGGCAGCAGUAGGGAAUCUUCCGCAAUGGGCGAAAGCCUGACGGAGCAACGCCGCGUGAGUGAUGAAGGUCUUCGGAUCGUAAAACUCUGUUAUUAGGGAAGAACAAAUGUGUAAGUAACUAUGCACGUCUUGACGGUACCUAAUCAGAAAGCCACGGCUAACUACGUG